rnacentral:rRNA from 1 species
UACGGAGGGUGCAAGCGUUAUCCGGAUUCACUGGGUUUAAAGGGAGCGUAGGAGGGCAGGUAAGUCAGUGGUGAAAUCCCCGGGCUCAACCCGGGAACUGCUUCUGAUACUGGCGGACUUGAGGCCAGUAGAGGUCACUGGAACUGACGGUGGAGCGGUGAAAUGCGUAGAUAUCGUCAGGAACGCCGGUGGUGAAGACGGGUGACUGGGCUGGUUCUGACACUGAGGCACGAAAGCGUGGGGAGCGAACGGG